AAAGUGGCUUAUGCAACUGCCAUGGACUGGUUUAUUGCUGUUUGUUAUGCCUUU
rfam:Sus scrofa chromosome 8.